rnacentral:rRNA from 1 species
UACGUAGGGUGCGAGCGUUAAUCGGAAUUACUGGGCGUAAAGCGUGCGCAGGCGGUUAUGUAAGACAGAUGUGAAAUGCCCGGGCUUAACCUGGGAACUGCAUUUGUGACUGCAUGGCUAGAGUUUGGCAGAGGGGGGUAGAAUUCCACGUGUAGCAGUGAAAUGCGUAGAUAUGUGGAGGAACACCGAUGGCGAAGGCAGCCCCCUGGGUCAAGACUGACGCUCAUGCACGAAAGCGUGGGGAGCAACAGG